UAAACUAAAGUUCCAUUUUGGGAGUUGUCACUAUCUAGAUUAGACUUGCAGUAAAUACAGUAAACUUAUUUUAAAUUUUGUUGAGAAUUACUUAACUGGUUUACCGUACUUCUAAAUUAUCAUAUUCAGGAAAGUUAAGGAAAACACCCACAUUAAUCACAUAGGUAGCAAGAGGUACAUCUCCAUUUCUACCAGUCAAUACACAAUUGAUUCAAGAAACCUCCCACAUACCUCCCGCUAUGGAUGAGGGGAAACUCACUGCUCUAGUGCUAUUGGAUCUGAGUGCUGCGUUUGACACUGUUGA